CCUACGGGAGGCAGCAGUGGGGAAUAUUGCACAAUGGGGGAAACCCUGAUGCAGCGACGCCGCGUGAGUGAAGAAGUAUUUCGGUAUGUAAAGCCCUGUUAGUAGGGAAGAAAAUGACGGUAUCUGACCAAGAAGCCCCGGCUAACUACGUGCCAGCAGCCGCGGUAAUACGUAGGGGGCAAGCGUUACUCGGAUUUACUGGGCGUAAAGGGAGCGUAGACGGCAGGGCAAGUCAGAUGUGAAAGGCGAGGGCUCAACCCUCGGACUGCAUUGGAAACUGCUAGGCUAGAGUGUGGGAGAGGUAGGUGGAAUUCCUGGUGUAGCGGUAAAAUCCGUAGAUAUUAAGAGGAACACCAAUGGCGAAGGCGACUUGCUAGACUAUAACUGACGUUGAGGCUCGAAAGCGUGGGGAGCAAACAGGAUUAGAUACCCUAGUAGUC
rnacentral:rRNA from 1 species